rnacentral:rRNA from 1 species
UGUCUAUUGCUAAAUAAUAAUAGAUAAUUUCUGCCCAGUGAAUAAUUUAACGGCCGCGGUAUCCUGACCGUGCAAAGGUAGCAUAAUCACUUGCCUCUUAAUUAGAGGCUAGAAUGAAAGAAUAAACGAUGAUAGGCUGUCUCCCUACAACCUAUAAAAUUUUACCUCUAGGUGAAGAGGCCUAGAUACAAAUAAAAGACAAGAAGACCCUGUCAAGCUUAAUUUAAUUAUAUACUAUCAAUAUUUAAAAAUUUAGUUGGGGCGACAAAAAAUUACACAAAUCAUUUUCAUUUUACAAGACCUACUAUUCUAUAAAAUUAACUUCCUACAAAAAUGAGAAAGCUACUGCAGGGAUAACAGGCUAAUACUUUUCAAGAGCUCUUAUCAACAAAAGUGAUUGGCACCUCGAUGUUGGCUUUGGAAACCAGAUUUGUGCAGAAGCAAAUCAUGGUGGUUUGUUCAACCAUUAAAUUCCU